CACGUAGGGCGCAAGCGUUGUCCGGAAUUAUUGGGCGUAAAGAGCUCGUAGGUGGUCUGUUGCGUCCGCUGUGAAAACCUAGGGCUUAACUCUGGGCGUGCAGUGGGUACGGGCAGGCUAGAGUGCGGUAGGGGAGACUGGAAUUCCUGGUGUAGCGGUGAAAUGCGCAGAUAUCAGGAGGAACACCGGUGGCGAAGGCGGGUCUCUGGGCCGAUACUGACGCUGAGGAGCGAAAGCGUGGGGAGCGAACAGG
rnacentral:rRNA from 1 species